CUCAUACACAAUUCAGUAAGUAUUGUUUCUUAAUGCAUUCUCAUGAAGCUCGUCCUUUUGCUUUUUGCGUUAUUUCCCAUCGUCUUCGCUGCCAGCUUGUAUGAUGUAGAGAUCGAAAAAAGAUUUUCAAUAAACGAUCUAAUUCAGCAUCUCCAAAAGCAGGAUCUGAGUGAAGGUUGUGAGAAAGUUUGUCACAAAGAAGUACCUCUUUUCCCGGAUUUCUUUUGCAAAGCAGCUUGUCAAUUUAUUAAGAAAACUGGCAGCGGAAACUAACCGGAAAAAUAUCACUCAAAAUCCUGUUUUCCGUAAUAGGUAACGUAAAAUGAAAUAAACUGUAUUACACAAAAAA